UAAAUAGAAGAAGUCCCAAAUCCAAAAAGACGGUAAAAUAGGUGUAUGGAGGUGAAAACUGAGGGUGCAAGAAGGAAGCCAAAAGAGCACGGUCUAGGCAUCAUCACCCCUUUCUUCUUCAUCAUCGAGGGUAGCCAUAUUCCUCCACUGGAGCUUCUUUCUCCUCUAAUUCUUUGCACCAAUAUCACCGUUUGUCACCAUGCUCGCGCCCGAAGAUGGCACCACCGCCGCCGGAUGUCAGCCAUAUGCUUGCGCCUCACUGUCACGCCGAGCUAGUUGCCAGGGAAACCAUUCCAUUUUUUUUCUACUAGGCCCCAAAUUGGGAUCCACGCAUCCACCGAAGACGACAAUACGCCGCAGAGGCUUCCACCGCAACCACGCCACUCUUCCUCCUUAUCACCGACAUUUUUCGCCCUACAACAUCACUGUCAUUGUGGCAAUUAGAGAUGGAAGAUGGCGCGUGAGGAUGUAUAUGAUGGUGAGUGCAAUUUUCUGAUUUGUUCAUUGAUGGUCAGUAAGUUUUUCUUAUUUGUUAUUUUUCUGUUAUGGGAUUUUGUAUUAUAUAUUUGGACAAGUUUUUAAUA